UGGGGAAUAUUGGACAAUGGGCGAAAGCCUGAUCCAGCCAUGCCGCGUGUGUGAAGAAGGUCUUCGGAUUGUAAAGCACUUUAAGUUGGGAGGAAGGGCCAUUACCUAAUACGUGAUGGUUUUGACGUUACCGACAGAAUAAGCACCGGCUAACUCUGUGCCAGCAGCCGCGGUAAUACAGAGGGUGCAAGCGUUAAUCGGAAUUACUGGGCGUAAAGCGCGCGUAGGUGGUUUGUUAAGUUGGAUGUGAAAUCCCCGGGCUCAACCUGGGAACUGCAUUCAAAACUGACUGACUAGAGUAUGGUAGAGGGUGGUGGAAUUUCCUGUGUAGCGGUGAAAUGCGUAGAUAUAGGAAGGAACACCAGUGGCGAAGGCGACCACCUGGACUGAUACUGACACUGAGGUGCGAAAGCGUGGGGAGCAAACAGGAUUAGAUACCCGCGUAGUCCCUGAGCGGGCUGGCAAGGCGCAU
rnacentral:rRNA from 1 species